rnacentral:ncRNA from 1 species
CUACGGACUUAAAUAAUUGAGCCUUAAAGAAGAAAUUCUUUAAGUGGAUGCUCUCAAACUCAGGGAAACCUAAAUCUGUUCGUAGACACGGCAAUCCUGAGCCAAGCCCAAGAUAAUUGGGAAGGUGCAGAGACUCGACGGGAGCUACCCUAACGUCAAGACGAGGGUAAAGAGAGAGUCCAAUUCUCAAAGCCAUUAGGCA